UUCUGUUGUCCUUCAUUCCACCGGAGUCUGUCUCGUACCCACCAGAUUUCAGUGGAGUGAAGCACAAGAGACA
rnacentral:pre_miRNA from 1 species